rnacentral:tRNA from 1 species
GUGGAUGUAGCUCAAUGGCAGAGCCCUGGACUGUGGCUCCAGUUGUUGCGGGUUCGAGCCCCGUCAUCCACC